GUUUCGCCGGAGACUCCUUAAUCCGACAUCCUGUUCUGCCGCAUAGCUGCUCGCUGACACUCGGGGCACUCCGAGCUGCUGCCCUGACCAAAAAACCUUUGUACACGCGAAAGGCCGUGUUGCAACCCCGUGUUCCCUGCUCCACACAGAACAGGGAAGUGGAACAAUCAGCUAAUUAAAGAUGGAGAGAAAAGAAAGCAGAUGAGCCAGGAAGCUCCCACCGGCAGCGCUGAGCUCCGGCUUUGGGGCUGGUACAAAAGGGGACGUGUGCCCAGGAGCAAAUCAAGAAGCCAGAGGCUGCUGACAAGCCCAGCCAGCCCCGGCCAUUCCUGCAGCAGGUAAGGGAUGCGGACGAGGCACAUUCGGAGCGUUUUGACAGCCGGGGAUGGGCGCUGGGGGCAGGAUUGGUAGAACUCCUCUAGGGGUGUGUGUUAACUGGUGUCCUGCUGGAUGGCAACAAAAGAAAACAUCCAAGCAGUGAUAAGUGACACGUCUCCCUCAAACGGCACUGAUUCUCUCUGUCAGCAGAUUUCCAAGGCAAACAUGAUCUAGCAAAGCUAAACACUCUGGAUUAAAGAAUGCUAAUUUGAAAAAAUACUGCAACUGAGAAAUACCAAAACAACAACAACAAAAGAAAGAUGUUUUUACACACUUUGAGAAAACCAUCCAAGGACACAAAGCUAAAAUCUAAGUGUUGCUCCCCGAAGUCAAUGCGUUUGCAAACAUGGCAGACAAUAAAUAUGGAUCUUCCACUCCUGUUUCAAAGACACCCAAAGACACCUCGUGCACCUCUCUGAGGCUAAAAGCAGAGCGGGGUUUAACACUGGAAGCUAAAUGGUUUUCUACAGGAAACUUCCAACAGUGCUAAUGUGUAUUUUAAUACUGAAUUAAAACCAAACCUGGUC